rnacentral:miRNA from 14 species
GUGAGUGUGUGUGUGUGUGUGAGUGUGUGUGUGUGAGUGUGUGUGUGUGUUGUCACCCAGUGCUUUUCACAGGGACAUAGCGCCACCUAGUGUUGACUGGUCUGCACUGCACACACACACACACACACACACACACACACACUG